rnacentral:lncRNA from 1 species
AGCAUUAAUACCAAACAAUAAUUAAAUGCCAAAGGUCAUUAAGGUUAAUAAACCUCAGGUCAUCACAUAAUCCCAAAAGCACUCAAAUCCUAAUUUGAAAAUUAAGCUAAUUAUUAUCUAAUUAUUUUUAAAGUUAUUACUUAAUUACUAAUUAAGGUUAUAUUAAUAUUUUAUUGAAACAUUAUCCAAAUGCCACCAAAUUUUUUGUGAAGCCAGGAAAUAAUAUUUAGAGACAUCUCACAAAUUUUGGUGAUUUUUGGACAUAUUAAUAAAUUCCUAAAAAUCAUGGAAUUUCUGUUUACUAAGUAAAGGAUACAAAUUUUAUACAUGUUCAAAUCAACAGAAAAUGGAAUUAAGAUUUUUCCUAUAUUCUACUCACUGCAUAGAACAUACCCAAAUAUUUCCACUAAUUUUGGAUCAGCACAUAAUUUUGUACACAAAUUCAAACAUCAAUCACUUUUAAUAUAAAAAGAAAAAAAAGAAAUCACACUAUGCGGGCGCGGCCGGCCCGCUUAACCUCGGCCCAGGCCGACCCACACGAUUCCCACGUCAUUCGCGGGCUCCCCCUUUCACCCACGAUCACUGACGGGUGGGUUCCGCCCGUCAGUUCCGUCCUCUACCUCGCGCCGCGGCUCCGGCAACCGCCCGGCCGCCGAUGAGGCCUCCCCGGCGAUAACUGACUUCUCCAGCAGGUUCGCCUUGACCCCGUGAGUGGUCUAGCGUGCUCAAGGUGGUCACAGAGGGUCCCCAAGCUACCCGGCGACGGCUCCGGCGACCGGAAACACCUCGGCGCCAAACCCC